rnacentral:lncRNA from 1 species
CAGCAAACAGAAACAAAAAUAGAAAAGAAAUCGUGUAAAAAGGGUAUAUAAAGCCGAAACAGAUUAUCAAACGGGGGGGCUUUUUGUUUUUAUUUUCGGUAAAAAAAAACGAUUCUAAAACCGAUUGUAUCAGAUUUCAAUAGAUAAAAAGGAAAAGAAAAAGAGAUUGAAGAAAAUUUUUGGUAUAAGCUUUAUUUUUCUUAUUAUUUUUAUUUUUCUUUUGAUUUUUCUUCCUUUCGAACUGUUUGUAUCCUUCAUUUUUAUUUUUCUUUUACUUAAAAAAAAACUAUAUAUAGCAUAUAAAAAAAUUACCUUUGGGAUUUUCCGGCCACCGUACGACGGCGGCCGGUGGUGUCGACGGCGAUUUCCCUCGCUGGAUUUUGGGCAGUGCUGGAGGGAGAGAGGAUUUUUUUGAAGAGAAAUCAUUUUUUU